GCGCUGCCUUUGAGCCCCUGCCGCGCCUGCGCGUGGCGCCGGGUUCAGGCGGCACGCACGCGCUUGCGCAUAACUGGGGCCGCCAGGUCCUCCCCCCGCGGCCCUUGUAACCGUGAGCAACACGG